GAUGAACGCUGGCGGCGUGCCUAACACAUGCAAGUCGAGCGAUUUACUUCGGUAAAGAGCGGCGGACGGGUGAGUAACGCGUGGGUAACCUGCCUCAUACACAUGGAUAACAUACCGAAAGGUAUGCUAAUACAGGAUAAUAUAAGAGAUUCGCAUGGAUUUCUUAUCAAAGCCCCGGCGGUAUGAGAUGGACCCGCGUCUGAUUAGCUAGUUGGUAAGGUAAUGGCUUACCAAGGCAACGAUCAGUAGCCGACCUGAGAGGGUGAUCGGCCACAUUGGAACUGAGACACGGUCCAAACUCCUACGGGAGGCAGCAGUGGGGAAUAUUGCACAAUGGGCGAAAGCCUGAUGCAGCAACGCCGCGUGAGUGAUGAAGGCCUUCGGGUCGUAAAACUCUGUCCUCAAGGAAGAUAAUGACGGUACUUGAGGAGGAAGCCCCGGCUAACUACGUGCCAGCAGCCGCCGAAAAC
rnacentral:rRNA from 1 species